UUUGAAGGGCCGCGGUAAUUUGACCGUGCGAAGGUAGCAUAAUCAGUAGUCUUUUAAUUGGAGGCUGGAAUGAAUGGUUGGACAAGGGGCUAGCUGUCUCUUUUGUUUCUUUUGAACUUUACUUUUAAGUGAAAAGGCUUAAAUAUUCUUGGGGGACGAUAAGACCCUAUAAAACUUUACAGUUUAAUUUAUAUUUUUUGAAGUGAAGUAUGAUAUUAAUUAUAAAUAUUCUGUUAUGUUGGGGCGACAAAGAUAUAAUAAGUAACUGUUAAAUAUAUAAGAUAAUUAUAAUUAGAUAAUUGAUCCUUUAUUAAAGAUUAAAAGAUUAAGUUACUUUAGGGAUAACAGCGUAAUUUUCUCUGAGAGUUCUUAUCGACGAGAGUAGUUGCGACCUCGAUGUUGAAUUAAGAUUUCUUUUAAAUGUAGCAGUUUAAUGAGUGGGUCUGUUCGACCUUUAAAAUC
rnacentral:rRNA from 1 species